rnacentral:rRNA from 1 species
CGCGUAGGCGGCUCUUGUUUGUCGCGUGUGAAAGCCCCGGGCUCAACCUGGGAGGUGCGCGCGAGACAGCGGGGCUGGAGUUCGGGAGAGGAGCGUGGAAUUCCCAGUGUAGAGGUGAAAUUCGUAGAUAUUGGGAAGAACACCGGUGGCGAAGGCGGCGCUCUGGACCGAGACUGACGCUGAGGCGCGAAAGCGUGGGGAGCAAACAGGAUUAGAUACCCUGGUAGUCCACGCUGUAAACGAUGUGUGCUAGACGUUGGGAGGCCUAGCCUCUCGGUGUCGCAGCCAACGCGGUAAGCACACCGCCUGGGGAGUACGGCCGCAAGGUUAAA